UGGAUCUUUUUAAAGGGAAAAAGACAC
rnacentral:piRNA from 1 species